UACGGAGGGUGCGAGCGUUGUCCGGAAUCACUGGGCGUAAAGGGCGCGUAGGCGGCGCGGAUAGUCGGCGGUGAAAGCCCGGAGCUCAACUCCGGGUCGGCCGUCGAUACUUCCGUGCUCGAGCACUGUAGAGGCAGGUGGAAUUCCGGGUGUAGCGGUGGAAUGCGUAGAGAUCCGGAAGAACACCGGUGGCGAAGGCGGCCUGCUGGGCAGUAGCUGACGCUGAGGCGCGACAGCGUGGGGAGCGAACAGG
rnacentral:rRNA from 1 species